UACAUGGGGUGCAAACGUUGCUCGGAAUUAUUGGGCGUAAAGCGCACGUAGGCGGUUUGUUAAGUCGGAUGUGAAAUCCCUCGGCUCAACUGAGGAAGUGCAUCCGAAACUGGCAAGCUUGAGUACGAAAGAGGGUCGCGGAAUUCCCGGUGUAGAGGUGAAAUUCGUAGAUAUCGGGAGGAACACCGGUGGCGAAGGCGGCUCGCUGGGCAGUGGCUGACGCUGAGGCGCGACAGCGUGGGGAGCAAACAGG
rnacentral:rRNA from 1 species